rnacentral:rRNA from 1 species
CCUACGGGAGGCUGCAGUGGGGAAUAUUGCACAAUGGGCGAAAGCCUGAUGCAGCAACGCCGCGUGAGUGAAGAAGUAUUUCGGGAUGUAAAGCUCUAUUAGCAGGGAAGAAAAUGACAGUACCUGACUCAGAAUCCCCGGCUAACUCCGUGCCAGCAGCCGCGGUAAUACGUAGGAGGCAAGCGUUAUCCGGAUUUACUGGGUGUAAAGGGAGCGUAGACGGCUGCGCAAGUCAGAAGUGAAAGCCCGGGGCUCAACCGCGGGACUGCAAUUGAGACUGUGUAGCUAGAGUGCAGUAGAGGUAGGUGGAAUUCGUAGUGUAGCGGUGAAAUGCGUAGAUAUUAGGAAGAACACCGAUGGCGAAGGCAGCUUACUAAACUGUCACUGACGUUGAGGCUCGAAAGCGUGGGGAGCAAACAGGAUUAGAUACCCCAGUAGUC